rnacentral:rRNA from 1 species
UACGGGGGGGCAAGCGUUGUUCGGAAUUACUGGGCGUAAAGGGCUCGUAGGCGGCCAACUAAGUCAGACGUGAAAUCCCCAGGCUUAACCUGGGAACUGCGUCGGAUACUGGAUGGCUUGAAUUCGGGAGAGGGAUGCAGAAUUCCAGGUGUAGCGGUGAAAUGCGUAGAUAUCUGGAGGAAUACCGGUGGCGAAGGCAGCCCCUGGGCCAAUACUGACGCUCAUGCACGAAAGCGUGGGAGCAAACAGG